CCCUUUAGACGGGGACAACAUUCCGAAAGGGAUGCUAAUACCGGAUGUGACGCUCCUAUCGCAUGACGGGAGCGUGAAAGAUGGCCUCUACAUGUAAGCUAUCGCUAAAGGAUGGGCCUGCGUCUGAUUAGCUAGUUGGUAGUGUAACGGACAACCAAGGCGAUGAUCAGUAGCCGGUCUGAGAGGAUGAACGGCCACAUUGGGACUGAGACACGGCCCAG
rnacentral:rRNA from 1 species